UCCGAUAUGGUGUAGUGGCCAACAUGAUGCCCUCUCAUCUCACAAUGAGAGGUUAGGCAUAGCCCCGAGUUCGAUUCUCGGUUUCGGAA